UCUUAUGAAUGACCUGAGAAAGUGGUUUGUUGAGAUGGAAUCUACUCCUGGUGAAGAUGCUGUGAA
rnacentral:pre_miRNA from 1 species